AUAUGUACUGAUGCAUAAUCAGCACUUAUAGAAUAAAUAAUAUAGUUAAUAAUCAUUCAAUUGGCAUGCCUUCAUUUUAACUUCAUUUAAAAAUAUUAAUUCAACAUUAAUAAUGUACUAAUUUGUGGUGGAGAAUAGUACUUUUCCCUAGUCCUGGCAAAUGAAAAGAGUGAGAGAGAUUAGAGAAUACCCUUCUUUCCCAGUAAGGAU
rnacentral:misc_RNA from 1 species